UACGUAGGCAGCAAGCGUUGUUCGGAGUUACUGGGCGUAAAGGGUGCGUAGGUGGCUCUAUAAGUAUGGUGUGAAAUCUCCCGGCUUAACUGGGAGGGUGCGCCGUAGACUGUGGGGCUAGAGUGUGGGAGAGGAAAGUGGAAUUCCUGGUGUAGCGGUGAAAUGCGUAGAGAUCCGGAAGAACACCGGUGGCGAAGGCGGUCUGCUGGGGUAAUGCUGACACUGAUGCGCGACAGCGUGGGGAGCAAACAGG
rnacentral:rRNA from 1 species